AGAGACGACGGCGAUGGAGCUCGCCGAAACCGCCCAGCGUUUUGAGCAUUAUCACAACGUAUUUGGCUGAUGGCUCCUACUGUUCC
rnacentral:ncRNA from 2 species